rnacentral:rRNA from 1 species
UACGUAGGGUGCGAGCGUUAAUCGGAAUUACUGGGCGUAAAGCGUGCGCAGGCGGUUUUGUAAGUCAGAUGUGAAAGCCCCGGGCUCAACCUGGGAAUGGCAUUUGGGACUGCAAGGCUGGAGUUUGGCAGAGGAGACUGGAAUUCCUGGUGUAGCAGUGAAAUGCGUAGAUAUCAGGAGGAACACCGAUGGCGAAGGCAGGUCUCUGGGCUGAAACUGACGCUCAUGCACGAAAGCGUGGGGAGCAAACAGG